ACUGUGGUGGUUCAGUGGUAGAAUUCUCACCUUCCACGUGGGAGACCUGGGUUUGAUUCCCAGACAAUGCA
rnacentral:tRNA from 1 species